AACAUAAUAUACUGGAAUGCUUGGGGUCAUCAAUAAACACAUUAACUUUCAAGUUUCUUCUGGACAACCCAGUUCCAUUUCUGAUGAUGCAGAGGUUGUAACACUUAUUGGAAGCUACCAGGAUGCAGCUAAUCAGAUAAAUCAGAAAGAAAUACAUUGGGGAUUUCUUGAAGAUUCCCUAGAAGAACGCUUGGAGAAAGCUGGAGGUGUGCU